GCACGAGUAAUUCUACCGAACACGUGACUUUUAAUCACGGGGUCCUGGGUUCGAGCCCCAGCGCGCUCACCA
rnacentral:tRNA from 2 species